UUACGACCAUAUCAUGUUGGAACACCAGUUCUCGUACAUUCAUCGAAGUUAAGCAAUGUCAAACCUGAUCAGUGCCUAGAUGGGUGACCGUUUGGGAAUACCAAGUGCUGUAA